rnacentral:rRNA from 1 species
AGCAGUAGCCGCGGUAAUACGUAGGUGGCAAGCGUUGUCCGGAAUUAUUGGGCGUAAAGGGCUCGCAGGCGGUUUCUUAAGUCUGAUGUGAAAGCCCCCGGCUCAACCGGGGAGGGUCAUUGGAAACUGGGAAACUUGAGUGCAGAAGAGGAGAGUGGAACUCCACGUGUAGCGGUGAAAUGCGUAGAGAUGUGGAGGAACACCAGUGGCGAAGGCGACUCUCUGGUCUGUAACUGACGCUGAGGAGCGAAAGCGUGGGGAGCGAACAGGAUUAGAUACCCCGGUAGUCCCUGUCUCUUAUAC